GACGAACGCUGGCGGCGUGCUUAACACAUGCAAGUCGAACGGAAAGGCCAUGCUUUUGUGGGGUGCUCGAGUGGCGAACGGGUGAGUAACACGUGAGUAACCUGCCCUUGACUUUGGGAUAACUUCAGGAAACUGGGGCUAAUAUCGGAUAGGAGCUCCUGAUGCAUGGUGGGGGUUGGAAAGUUUCGGCGGUUGGGGCUGGACUCGCGGCUUAUCAGCUUGUUGGUGGGGUAGUGGCUUACCAAGGCUUUGACGGGUAGCCGGCCUGAGCGGGUGACCGGCCACAUUGGGACUGAGAUACGGCCCAGACUCCUACGGGAGGCAGCAGUGGGGAAUAUUGCGCAAUGGGCGGAAGCCUGAUGCAGCAACGCCGCGUGCGGGAUGACGGCCUUCGGGUUGUAAACCGCUUUCGCCUGUGACGAAGCGUGAGUGACGGUAAUGAGUAAAGAAGCACCGGCUAACUACGUG
rnacentral:rRNA from 1 species